AACCUGAAGCAGUUUCCAGUAUUGGAUUGCAAAGAUGGCCUUUGCUGCAUCUCCUUGAGCAAGGAAAGCCAAGAAACCUUUGCUUUGGAAGGAGAAAAUCUGGAAAGCGGGAAGGAAGAAAAGAAGCCCCCUGACUCCUCCCUGAGCCCCAGACAGCCCAUGAACUGCCUUCCUGGGAAUGGUAGGACAGGGUGGACUCUGGAUUGCUCCCUCUGCAUGUGUGUGGGAUGUAGCCUGGAAACUGCACAGAGCUGAGCCAAGGGAUUGAAAGGGACCAACAAAGGGAGGUGAAGAAAGAAUUAAAGUGAGGCAGCAGCCAAGCAGCAGCAAGUUGCUGUGUAAGCAGGCCAGGCCAAAGCCCUGAUCCAGCCCAGCUCUGCCAAGUGCCCUGGGCUGGGAGCAGCCAAAGGCAAGAGGCUGCAGCCCCGCCGGCCGGGCUGGGGGCUCCUGGUGCUGCCCGUGGGGUGGGGUAUGCCCAGGACGCUGCCAAUGCCCAGGGAUCUGCUCUGGGUCCAGGCUGUCCGUGCUGGAGGGCCCUGGUGGCUGCAGUCCCUGAGCCCGCAGAGACAGAGAGAGCC